CUACUUGACAUAUGCGUCUAUAUGUGUGUGUUUUAGAUGUGGAGGAGACAAAUAAAGUGAGAAAAUCAUCAUCAAAUGAUGAUUUCCAGGACAAGCAGUCAUUGUUUGAAGAAGCCACCGAUCAUGUCCAAAGGAAAGUGUUGCACGAAGUACAUUCAGGACCAAAUCCCAUCGGUAAUUCUAUUCCUCAUCAGCAGAAGGCCAACACAUCAUUACAAAAAACUCCCUAGUCUCUUCUUUCCAUUGCUAUACAAUGUUCCCAAUGAUUACAGGAGCAAUUAAGCUAUAUUUGCAAAUUUUCUAUUAUAUGCUAAUAAACAUGAUUAAAUUUUUUUUA